UUUCCGAACCCUCCUCUCUCUGCCCAAUUCACUUCUCUAUACCUCCUCUCUGCAUCGCGCACACCACCGUUACUCCGGCGUCGGCAGAACAAUUGUCCACGGACAACGACUAGUCAUAUAGAAACUCUCUUCCCCUAUGAUUUCUCUUGGCAUGAGUUACUUAUUUCCCCCUCUCUCUGCCCCUAAUUUUCUAGAAUCUCCUCAGCCACUUGCUUCUUCUGCUGCCUCUCUUCAGGUUUCAGUUUGAAAUACUUGCUUAAGAGGCUAUAUUCUGUCAAGAGAGGCAGAUGACGAAUGAGUUUGAGAAGCCGAAGCAACAAUUGGUAGAGUAUGAAUUCAUGUCACGGUACAUAUCCCACAAGCUUGGUCUCUAGUCUUCAUGUGGAGAAAAUGAAUGCAUGACUUGGGGUUACAAAGGGAAAGAAAAUUCGGAGCCUGGUCUCUAGUUUUUUUUAAUUUUUUGGUGAACCUGGACUCUAGUCUUUGAGUGUUCUUCAUUCAUUUAUGCUUUUAGUUUUUGGAUAUAGGGUAUGAAAUUUAUGUGUACUUAAAUGACUAGUAUGCUUGUGUGCCUCAGAAUGUUUACAACUUUAUUUAUAUCAUUUUCAAUUGAUUUUGCUUCCCUAAA